AUACGUAGGGGACGAGCGUUGUCCGGAAUUACUGGGCGUAAAGGGCGCGCAGGCGGAUAUUUAAGUCAGCUGUUAAAGUCAUGGGCUCAACUCAUGGAUGCGGUUGAAACUGGGUAUCUAGAGUGCUGGAGAGGUAGGCGGAAUUCCCGGUGUAGCGGCGAAAUGCGUAGAUAUCGGGAAGAACACCAGUGGCGAAGGCGGCUUACUGGCCAGCAACUGACGCUGAGGCGCGAAAGCUAGGGGAGCGAACGGGAUUAGAUACCCCGGUAGUCCUGGCCGUAAACGAUGAAUGCUAGGUGUGGGUGUCGAGAGGCAUCCGUGCCGGAGUUAACGCGAUAAGCAUUCCGCCUGGGGAGUACGGUCGCAAGAUUGAAACUCAAAUGAAUUGACGGGG
rnacentral:rRNA from 1 species